AUUAACAUAAACGAUUAUUUUACCUACAAUUAAACAUAUUUAAGAAAGUAAUAUAAGAUUUGACUGACUAAUAUAAGAUUUACUGCCUCGGUGGCGUAGUUGUACGGCAUGCGCGGUACGGCAGCUCUCUGAGGUCCUGGGUUCGGAUCCCGGGUCGGGCAAAGUGAUAUUUGGGUUUUUCUGCUCAGUAUCAGCCCGGAGUCUGGAAUUUGUGCCCGAUAUGGCGAAAGGCUUGCCCCCUAUCACAUCAUGGGACGGAACACACUUGGCGAAAAGUGGACCACGGUGGGUCAUUCCGCCAUUUCGUGCAAAUUACAUUUCCAGCCAAAUUAAACCAUGUAGGAAUACCUGCAUUUAACAGAAUUAUAUUCGAAUGGACAACAAAUCAAGUACUUAAAAAGGAGUAUCAUCCAAAAGUUAGAAUUUUUAGUUUAUUUUCAAAUUAUGAUAGUUUAAUUCCCAAAAAUCUCAUUACACUCUGUGUCCAAUCAGUGACAAAGUUGCAUUUUACAUGUUUAUUAAUUUUUUGUUGACUAGCUAACUUCCAAUUCUUCGAUAAUACAUUUGUUUAAUUCCUUACUAAUUCAUUAGUAAUAUUUGUAAAAUUAUAAACAUAUUAUAAAUUAUUAAAAAAAGGACUUUAAAUUUUGUCACGUAAAAAAAAUCAUCACUAUCCAGAGUCAAAAUCGUUCCAUUCUAAUGCGCGUUUAUAAAUCCCCACCCGUGAGUCAUGACGCAAAUUGUUCGUACUGGUCAGUUAGCCUCGUCAGCAAAGCCAAGUGCACGUGUCUCCCUCGCUUUUGAAAUUAUAUACAUUCUUCGUGCCUUCAAAAGCCUUUCGUCCAAAUAUUAUUUCAUCACAUUCCGUCGAAUUUGAAAAGUUCAGCGCAAAAUGACGAAGAUGGACCGACUUCACGAAUCUAAAAAAUACACAUCAAUUAAAAGGAUCCCUGAACUAUAUGCCAUCGAAAAUAGAAAGAAAGAACAAGAUAUUUGGCCACAAAAGCUAAUAAUAAGAUUUGCAGUAUUAAGGAAAUGACUCCCAGAGCACAAAGAUCAGAGAAAAUACAGAAAAUUAUUUAAAAAGGAAAUUAGAAAAGUAUUGAGAUGGUACUGGUAGAAAACUCCGCUUCUAGUAUGGCUGAUUUUAUUAUACAGAGAGCAGACCCGUUAAAAAUAAUAGAAGUAACUAAGCAACUAACUAACUCCAAGCAGUAGUAAAGUUCCCCAACAGUCGUGAGCCACAAAUGUAAUAAGACGAAUGCGUUACAACCAUCUUAAGAUCGUUAAGUAACCCUUAUCAGCAGUGUUGAUCGCCUGCUCUCACGAUGGGUCGAACAAUAUUUGAACUUAUAUUCUCGAUCCGUGGAUAUCCAACUAGAAGCAAUAGACUGCAUACCGAUAUUGGCUACCUUAAACGAACUCGAUGAACCACCUACACACGAAUACAAGAAUUUCAAAA